ACAUACAUACACACAUACAUACACACAUACAUACACACACACAGGGCCCUGGCUGGCUGGCUGCUGCAGCUGGGAAUUCCAGGGCGAUCCCCCCCAGCAGGAUGGCUUAUGAUGUGUGCGCGUUCACAAGGCAGCCCAUGUCUUCAGCUUCCCCACACAGUGCAUGAUCCGAGGCUUUCCCAUGGAAUAAUAAGCCUGGGCUGCCGGCACACAGGCGCUCAUUAUUCAUCCUUUGAAGCGGCUCGACUCUGGAAAGAAUACAUAUGAGCAGAGAG